rnacentral:rRNA from 1 species
GACGCUGGCGGCGUGCUUAACACAUGCAAGUCGAACGAACCUUCGGGUUAGUGGCGGACGGGUGAGUAACGCGUGAGAAUCUGCCCUCAGGAGGGGGAUAACGGUUGGAAACGACCGCUAAUACCCCAUAUGCCUAUUGGUGAAAUGAAUUUCGCCUGAGGAUGAGCUCGCGUCUGAUUAGCUAGUUGGUGAGGUAAUGGCUCACCAAGGCUUCGAUCAGUAGCUGGUCUGAGAGGAUGAUCAGCCACACUGGGACUGAGACACGGCCCAGACUCCUACGGGAGGCAGCAGUGGGGAAUUUUCCGCAAUGGGCGAAAGCCUGACGGAGCAACGCCGCGUGAGGGACGAAGGCCUCUGGGCUGUAAACCUCUUUUCU